rnacentral:lncRNA from 1 species
GUGAGUGAAAAAAUCUAUAAAAAAAAGUUGAUAGUAAAAUUGAGAAGUUGAAUAUUACGGUUUAAAUAUGAUUGUAUGUAUGUAUUUUUUUUUUAGAUUUUAUAUAAAAGUAUAAACAAACGAAAAUAUCCUCUAAAUGAUAUUUUUUUUGUUUUGUAAAAAUAAUGAAGUUUUGGUAAUUUUACAACUAAGUUUUCUAUUGGAUGACACUAAAUUAAAAAUGAUAAAAAAUUAUUAUUUUUCAUUUGCAAAUCAACUACAAACAAAAUAUUUCAUUUGUAGAACUAUUGAGGUUGAAAAAGUUCUCGGACCACAACAAUGAGAGCAUUGUUUCUCAAGUGUGAAGGGAUAUUGGUGAGCCAAGGCGAAAUGUUUUCAAAGAUGACCUUAGAUGGCAACAACGUUCCAGAUGAUUCUGGAUGAGGUGUCAGGACGACGUGUGAACUUUAAGAGAUGAUCUCGAGAUGGUUACAAAUGGGAUGAGGAGCUAUGGGAGAGCUUCAAGAUGAUUCGAUGGGUGAUCUUGUUGCUAAGGUCCUUCCUGAGGUAGUGAAUCAUCAGAGAUAGCCUUGGAGAUGAUUGAGUGAGAUGAUUCUGAUGUGACUUAGCCUCCCGACAGAGUAGAUCACUAAGUUAGUCCUUGAUGAGAUCAUGAAAGAUUUCCAUGAUCUCAUAGGAGAUGAUCAAUUGAGAUGACCAUAGGAGAUAAUCAAGUGAGAUGAUCCUGACGAGGUUUGGCCCUUUGGUGUAUUAUUUAUUAUGUCAAAUACAGAAAAAAAGAAAGAGAUAUGCGAUAGGAUUAUAUAAUAAAUAUUGUUUAUUUAGUUUCCAUUUUCCAAGAGAGCUUGGAAAGUAAAAAAAGAAGGUUUGAAUGUAAUUUGUCCAAGUUCAAACUUUUUUAAAAAAUAUUUAUUAUAUAUGGUUGAAUCGGCUUACAACCUAUUGAAUAAGCGGACAAAAAAUUACUGAUUUGGUCGAUUUAACUAAUAGUUUGAUCUUGAAAACCAUGCCCAACAUAGCAAAUCAACUAACUUGUCCUCUAGAUAUGAUCUCAACAUGGCUAGGCUUCCCUUGGGGUAGCAAAUCCACUAAGCUAGCCUAUGGAGAUUAUCUCAACGUGGCUAGACUUUUCCCAGCAUAGAGGAUCAACUAACUUGGCUUCUAAUGAUGAUGUCAACGUGGCUAGGCUUCUCCCAGCGUAGCGGAUCGACUAAGUUAGACUCUCGGGAGAUGAUCAGGUUGAUCUCAGACUAUGGAGACUUCAAGGACGUCUGUAGAGAAAGGGAUAAUGUUAGCGGGCACCAGAGGACUUCCGAGGCAUACUCCAACUCAACUCAAUGAUCAGGUAUAACUUAAUGCAAGAAAAGAAGUUUUGAAAAAGAGGGGUAGAAGAUGCUUUUCAAUUGCUAUGUAGUGAAGUAUGACUGGUCUUUCUGUGAAUGGCAGUGAAUCCUUCCAUUUAUAGCCAAUGGUGUAGUAACUUGGUGCCAUGUGACGUUUCAUCAUUAGCUUGGUGUUGAGGUAUCUUUCUGAGGUGCAUUGAACCUUUGUCAAGUGGUUUUGCAAGUGGGAACCAGGUCUUAGAGGGUCUUCCGUUUGGGGCCUUGCCUUGGGCCUCGCCCAAGGCUUGUCUUGGUGAGCUUUCGUUGGAUUAGCCAU